rnacentral:lncRNA from 1 species
CCUCUCCCCACGGUCUCCCUCUCAUGCGGAGCCGCAGCUGGACUGUACUGCUGCCAUCUCGGCUCACUGCAACCUCCCUGCCUGAUUCUCCUGCCUCAGCCUGCCCAGUGCCUGCGAUUGCAGGCUCGCGCCGCCACACCUGACUGGUUUUGGUGGAGAUGGGGUUUCGCUGUGUUGGCCGGGCCGGUCUCCAGCCCCUAACCGCGAGUGAUCCGCCAACCUCGACCUCCCGAGGUGCCGGGAUUGCAGACGGAGUCUCGUUCACUCAGUGCUCAAUGGUGCCCAGGCUGGAGUGCAGUGGCGUGAUCUCGGCUCACUACAACCUACACCUCCCAGCCGCCUGCCUUGGCCUCCCAAAGUGCCAAGAUUGCAGCCUCUGCCCGGCUGCCACCCCGUCUGGGAAGUGAGGAGCGUCUCUGCCUGGCCACCCAUCGUCUGGGAUGUGAGGAGCCCCUCUGCCUGGCUGCCCAGUCUGGAAAGUGAGGAGCGUCUCCGCCCGGCCGCCAUCCCAUCUAGGAAGUGAGGAGCGCCUCUUCCCAGCCGCCAUCACAUCUAGGAAGUGAGGAGCAUCUCUGCCCGGCCGCCCAUCCUCUGAGAUGUGGGGAGCGCCUCUGCCCCGCCGCCCCAUCUGGGAUGUGAGGAGCGCCUCUGCCCGGCCGAGACCCCGUCUGGGAGGUGAGGAGCAUCUCUGCCCGGCCGCCCCGUCUGAGAAGUGAGGAGACCCUCUGCCGGGCAACCACCCCGUCUGAGAAGUGAGGAGCCCCUCCGCCCGGCAGCUGCCCCGUCUGAGAAGUGAGGAGCCUCUCCGCCCGGCAGCCACCCCAUCUGGGAAGUGAGGAGCGUCUCCGCCCGGCAGCCACCCCGUCCGGGAGGGAGGUGGGGGGGGGUCAGCCCCCCGCCCGGCCAGCCGCCCCGUCCGGGAGGGAGGUGGGGGGGUCAGCCCCCCGCCUGGCCAGCCGCCCCGUCCGGGAGGGAGGUGGGGGGGUGAGCCCUCCGCCCGGCCAGCCGCCCCGUCUGGGAGGUGAGGGGCGCCUCUGCCCGGCCGCCCCUACUGGGAAGUGAGGAGCCCCUCUGCCCGGCCAGCCGCCCCGUCCGGGAGGGAGGUGGGGGGGUCGGCCCCCCGCCGGGCCAGCCGCCCCGUCCGGGAGGGAGGUGGGGGGGUCAGCCCUCCGCCCGGCCAGCCGCCCCGUCCGGGAGGGAGGUGGGGAUGUCGGCCCCCCGCCCGGCCAGCCGCCCCGUCCGGGAGGGAGGUGGGGGGGUCAGCCCCCCGCCCGGCCAGCCGCCCCGUCCGGGAGGGAGGUGGGGGGGGGUCAGCCCCCCCGCCCGGCCAGCCGCCCUGUCCAGGAGGUGAGGGGCGCCUCUGCCCGGCCGCCCCUACUGGGAAGUGAGGAGCCCCUCUGCCCGGCCAGCCGCCCUGUCCGGGAGGGAGGUGGGGGGAUCGGCCCCCCGCCCGGCCAGCCGCCCCGUCCGGGAGGGAG